rnacentral:rRNA from 1 species
UAUUCCUGUACCAGCGAAUGACCGUUAAUACCGAUGCGGUGACGCAGAGGGUAAAUCCAAGCAGACUGAUGGAUGUCUGUCUAACUUUGUAGGGGUUAUGUGAGGCAAAUCCUUGCAUUAUAAAUCCCUGAUGAAGGACGGGGACUGUGCAGCGAUGCAUGGGAACUUGGAGGAGCCGUACUGCCAAGAAAGAGCCGCUCAGGGAGGUUAUUUGUUGCCCGUACCGGAAACCGACACAGGUGGACGAGGGUAGUACCCAAAGGCGCACAAGAGAACCCCUGUUAAGGAACUCGGCAAAAUGCACGUGUAACUUCGGGAUAAGCGUGGCCUCAAGUAGGUGAUGGGGAGAAACCGAAGCUGAAAGAGGUUGCAAAAAAGAGGCUCUGGCGACUGUUUACCAAAAACACAGAUCUCUGCUAAGACUUAAGUCUAAGUAUAGGGAUUGAGACCUGCCCGGUGCCAGAAGGUUAAAGAAGGGGGUCAACGGGGUAACCCGUGAAGCUCUUGACUGAAGCCCCGGUAAACGGCGGCUGUAACAAUAACAGUCCUAAGGUAGCGAAAUUCCUUGUCGGGUAAGUUCCGACCUGCAUGAAUGGUAUAACGACUGGAGCGCUGUCUCAACAGGGGACUUGGUGAAAUUGAAGUAUCGGUGCAAAUACCGAUUACCCGCAGCUAGACGGUAAGACCCUGUGAACCUUUACUGUACCCUGGCAUUGUAUUCUGGCACGUUCUGUGUAGGAUAGGUGGGAGGCUAUGAAGCGUGGGCGCCAGCUUGCGUGGAGCCAACCUUGAAAUACCACCCUUAACGUGUCGGACUACUAACGGAUGCUGUGGAAGCAUCUAGACAGUGUCAGGCGGGCAGUUUGACUGGGGCGGUCACCUCCCAAAGUGUAACGGAGGUGUACGAAGGUUCCCUCGAGCUGUAUAGAAAUCAGCUGAAAGAGCGUAAAGGUAUAAGGGAGCUUGACUGCGAGAGAGACAUCUCGAGCAGGGACGAAAGUCGGUCUUAGUGAUCCGGUGGUUUUUGUAUGGAAAAGCCAUCGCUUAACGGACAAAAGGUACUCCGGGGAUAACAGGCUGAUACCGCCCAAGAGUUCACAUCGACGGCGGUGUUUGGCACCUCGAUGUCGGCUCAACUCAUCCUGGGGCUGAAGUAGGUCCCAAGGGUUCGGCUGUUCGCCGAUUAAAGAGUUACGUGAGCUGGGUUCAGAACGUCGUGAGACAGUUCGGUCCCUAUCUACUGUGGGCGCUGGAUAUUUGAGGGGAGCUGUUCCUAGUACGAGAGGAUCGGAAUGGACGUACCUCUGGUGCACCAGUUGUCGUGCCAACGGCACAGCUGGGUAGCUAUGUACGGAAGGGAUAACCACUGAAAGCAUCUAAGUGGGAAGCCUCCCCCAAGAUUAGAUAUCCCUUAAGGUUCCAGGUAGACUACCUGGUUGAUAGGUCGCAGGUGUAAGUACAGUAAUGUAUUCAGCCGAGCGAUACUAAUAAACCGUUUGACUUGCCCGU